CACGAGGCGCUGCUAAAACAUGCAAGUCGAACGCUUCUUUUUCACCGGAGCUUGCUCCACCGGAAAAAGAGGAGUGGCGAACGGGUGAGUAACACGUGGGUAACCUGCCCAUCAGAAGGGGAUAACACUUGGAAACAGGUGCUAAUACCGUAUAACAAUCGAAACCGCAUGGUUUUGAUUUGAAAGGCGCUUUCGGGUGUCGCUGAUGGAUGGACCCGCGGUGCAUUAGCUAGUUGGUGAGGUAACGGCUCACCAAGGCGACGAUGCAUAGCCGACCUGAGAGGGUGAUCGGCCACAUUGGGACUGAGACACGGCCCAAACUCCUACGGGAGGCAGCAGUAGGGAAUCUUCGGCAAUGGACGAAAGUCUGACCGAGCAACGCCGCGUGAGUGAAGAAGGUUUUCGGAUCGUAAAACUCUGUUGUUAGAGAAGAACAAGGAUGAGAGUAACUGUUCAUCCCUUGACGGUAUCUAACCAGAAAGCCACGGCUAACUACGUGCCAGCAGCCGCGGUAAUACGUAGGUGGCAAGCGUUGUCCGGAUUUAUUGGGCGUAAAGCGAGCGCAGGCGGUUUCUUAAGUCUGAUGUGAAAGCCCCCGGCUCAACCGGGGAGGGUCAUUGGAAACUGGGAGACUUGAGUGCAGAAGAGGAGAGUGGAAUUCCAUGUGUAGCGGUGAAAUGCGUAGAUAUAUGGAGGAACACCAGUGGCGAAGGCGGCUCUCUGGUCUGUAACUGACGCUGAGGCUCGAAAGCGUGGGGAGCAAACAGGAUUAGAUACCCUGGUAGUCCACGCCGUAAACGAUGAGUGCUAAGUGUUGGAGGGUUUCCGCCCUUCAGUGCUGCAGCUAACGCAUUAAGCACUCCGCCUGGGGAGUACGACCGCAAGGUUGAAACUCAAAGGAAUUGACGGGGGCCCGCACAAGCGGUGGAGCAUGUGGUUUAAUUCGAAGCAACGCGAAGAACCUUACCAGGUCUUGACAUCCUUUGACCACUCUAGAGAUAGAGCUUCCCCUUCGGGGGCAAAGUGACAGGUGGUGCAUGGUUGUCGUCAGCUCGUGUCGUGAGAUGUUGGGUUAAGUCCCGCAACGAGCGCAACCCUUAUUGUUAGUUGCCAUCAUUUAGUUGGGCACUCUASCAAGACUGCCGGUGACAAACCGGAGGAAGGUGGGGAUGACGUCAAAUCAUCAUGCCCCUUAUGACCUGGGCUACACACGUGCUACAAUGGGAAGUACAACGAGUCGCAAAGUCGCGAGGCUAAGCUAAUCUCUUAAAGCUUCUCUCAGUUCGGAUUGUAGGCUGCAACUCGCCUACAUGAAGCCGGAAUCGCUAGUAAUCGCGGAUCAGCACGCCGCGGUGAAUACGUUCCCGGGCCUUGUACACACCGCCCGUCACACCACGAGAGUUUGUAACACCCGAAGUCGGUGAGGUAACCUUUUGGAGCCAGCCGCCUAAGGUGGGAUAGAUGAUUGGGGUGAAGUCGAACCAGGUACCA
rnacentral:rRNA from 1 species